AACGCACCUUGCGCUCCUUGGUAUUCCGAGGAGCAUGCCUGUUUGAGUGUCUUGAAGUCAUCAACCCCUCCGGUUUUUCGAAACUGGGGAAGGUUGGAUAUGGGGGCUUGCUGCCGCGAGGCUGCUCCCCUCAAAUGUGUCGGUUGGACCUGUGGGUCGAACUCGUUGGGCGUUGUAUCAUCCUCGCUCUGACAGAGAUGUUCCCCUUUGGUUGUCCUCCCACGACUCGCCUGCAGAGUGGCAGUCAACUCUUUGAAAUCUGACCUCAAAUCAGGUAGGACUACCCGCUGAACUUAA
rnacentral:misc_RNA from 1 species